rnacentral:rRNA from 1 species
UACGUAGGGUGCAAGCGUUGUCCGGAAUUAUUGGGCGUAAAGAGCUCGUAGGCGGUCUGUCGCGUCGGAUGUGAAAACUCGGGGCUCAACCCCGAGCCUGCAGUCGAUACGGGCAGACUAGAGUUCGGUAGGGGAGACUGGAAUUCCUGGUGUAGCGGUGAAAUGCGCAGAUAUCAGGAGGAACACCGGUGGCGAAGGCGGGUCUCUGGGCCGAUACUGACGCUGAGGAGCGAAAGCGUGGGGAGCGAACAGG